GAUGAACGCUGGCGGUAUGCCUAACACAUGCAAGUCGUACGAGAGUUUUUAACUCUAGUGGCGGACGGGUGAGUAACACGUGAGAAUUUGCCUUUAGGAGGGGGAUAACAAUUGGAAACGAAUGCUAAUACCCCAUAUGCUUUUGAGUGAAAUGGAUUUUAUCCGCCUAGAGAGAAGCUCGCGGCUGAUUAGCUUGUUGGUAAGGUAAGAGCUUACCAAGGCGACGAUCAGUAUCUGGUUUGAGAGGACGAUCAGACACACUGGAACUGAGACACGGUCCAGACUCCUACGGGAGGCAGCAGUGGGGAAUUUUCCGCAAUGGGCGAAAGCCUGACGGAGCAAUACCGCGUGAGGGAAGAAUGCCUAUGGGUUGUAAACCUCUUUUUUCAGGGUAGGAAUAAAAUGACGUGUACCUGAGAAUAAGCAUCGGCUAACUCCGUG
rnacentral:rRNA from 1 species